UACGUAGGGUGCAAGCGUUAAUCGGAAUUACUGGGCGUAAAGCGUGCGCAGGCGGUUGUGCAAGACCGAUGUGAAAUCCCCGGGCUUAACCUGGGAAUGGCAUUGGUGACUGCACGGCUAGAGUGUGUCAGAGGGGGGUGGAAUUCCACGUGUAGCAGUGAAAUGCGUAGAGAUGUGGAGGAAUACCGAUGGCGAAGGCAGCCCCCUGGGAUAACACUGACGCUCAUGCACGAAAGCGUGGGGAGCAAACAGG
rnacentral:rRNA from 1 species